rnacentral:rRNA from 1 species
UAGGUUGCAAGCGUUGUCCGGAUCUACUGGGUGUAAAGGGCGUGUAGGCGGAGGUGCAAGUUGGGAGUGAAAUCCAUGGGCUCAACCUAUGAACUGCUCUCAAAACUGUAUCCCUUGAGUAUCGGAGAGGCAAGCGGAAUUCCUAGUGUAGCGGUGAAAUGCGUAGAUAUUAGGAGGAACACCAGUGGCGAAGGCGGCUUGCUGGACAACAACUGACGCUGAGGCGCGAAAGCGUGGGGAGC